rnacentral:sRNA from 1 species
UGACUUUCAGUUCAGCUGAGAGUUGGAGC